rnacentral:rRNA from 1 species
UACGGAGGGUGCGAGCGUUGUCCGGAAUCACUGGGCGUAAAGGGCGCGUAGGCGGCAUGCCAAGCGUGUGGUGAAAGCCCGGAGCUCAACUCCGGGUCGGCCGUCGAUACUCUCGUGCUUGAGCACUGUAGAGGCAGGUGGAAUUCCGGGUGUAGCGGUGGAAUGCGUAGAGAUCCGGAAGAACACCGGUGGCGAAGGCGGCCUGCUGGGCAGUAGCUGACGCUGAUGCGCGACAGCGUGGGGAGCAAACAGG